CCUACGGGAGGCAGCAGUGAGGAAUAUUGGUCAAUGGCCGUAAGGCUGAACCAGCCAAGUCGCGUGAAGGAAGAAGGAUCUAUGGUUUGUAAACUUCUUUUAUAGGGGAAUAAAGGUAUCCACGUGUGGAUAUUUGCAUGUACCCUAUGAAUAAGCAUCGGCUAACUCCGUGCCAGCAGCCGCGGUAAUACGGAGGAUGCGAGCGUUAUCCGGAUUUAUUGGGUUUCAAGGGUGCGUCGGUUGUUUUUUAAGUCAGCGGUGAAAGUUUGUGGCUCAACCAUAAAAUUGCCGUUGAAACUGGAAGCCUUGAGUGUGUUUGAGGUAGGCGGAAUGCGUGGUGUAGCGGUGACAUUCAUAGAUAUCACGCAGAACUCCGAUUGCGAAGGCAGCUUACUAAGCCAUAACUGACACUGACGCACGACAGCGUGGGGAUCAAACAGGAUUAGAUACCCCAGUAGUC
rnacentral:rRNA from 1 species